UACGUAGGGUGCAAGCGUUGUCCGGAAUCAUUGGGCGUAAAGCGCGCGUAGGCGGUCGGGUAAGGCCGCUGUGAAAGUGAAGGGCUCAACCCUUGAAUGCCGGUGGAAACUGUCGAGCUAGAGUCCGGAAGAGGCGAGUGGAAUUCCUGGUGUAGCGGUGAAAUGCGCAGAUAUCAGGAGGAACACCAAUGGCGAAGGCAGCUCGCUGGGACGGUACUGACGCUGAGACGCGAAAGCGUGGGGAGCAAACAGG
rnacentral:rRNA from 1 species